AGAAUCAACGCUGGCGGCGUGCCUAACACAUGCAAGUCGAACGAGAAAGUGGAGCAAUCCAUGAGUAAAGUGGCGACCGGGUGAGUAACACGUGACUAACCUACCUUCGAGUGGGGGAUAACCUCGGGAAACCGGGGCUAAUACCGCAUAAAAUCUUUGGAUCGGAAGAACUGGAGAUCAAUGGAGCAAUUCGCUUGAAGAGGGGGUCGCGGCUGAUUAGCUAGUUGGCGGGGUAAUGGCCCACCAAGGCUUUGAUCGGUAGCCGGCCUGAGAGGGCGCGACGGCCGACGACUGGAACUGAAACACGGUCCAGACUCCUACGGGAGGCAGCAGUGGGGAAUUUUGCGCAAUGGGGGAAACCCUGACGCAGCAACGCCGCGUGGAGGAUGAAGUCCCUUGGGACGUAAACUCCUUUCGACCGGGACGAUUAUGACGGUACCGGUGGAAGAAGCCCCGGCUAACUUCGUGCCAGCAGCCGC
rnacentral:rRNA from 1 species